ACUUAAAUAGCUUAUAUAAGAGCAUAAUUUUGAAGAAAUUAAGGAAAAAUAUUUUUUUAAGUA
rnacentral:tRNA from 1 species